CCGCCCACCCCGAAAGCUACCCGGCCAGGCCCCGCCCACCCUGAAAGACGACAGUUAGGGCACAGCCACCCCGGAAUUAGGACCUGUCCCACUCCCGCCCGCCCACCCAGAAAAAGGACCCGGCGCAGCCACGCCCAUCCUGGAAGAGGACUUGGCCCAGCCACGCCCACCCCGGAACAGCCGAAGGGAAGCGGCAGCCCCGCCUCUGUCAGGCCUGUGGGUGUCUUUCGGGAAGCAGAGGGUGCCCUUCGGGGGGGUGGGGGAGGGGAAGGGUCGGAGUCAGAGUCGGGAAGGGGUGCUGGCAGGGAACAGAGUCGGACCCCCAUGCAGCAGGAAGAAGUACUCCCUCCCGCUCGAAGGAGGGCCACCUCACAUCAGCUCAGGUAGGCUGGGUGCUUACGUAUGAAUCCCCGCCGGGACAGGGGAGGUCUCUGCGAGCCGGUGUUCACAGUGCGGGGACCUGCCGAUGACUCCUCGCGCGCUCCCGAAGCACGUUUGCACCUCAGUAAAGGCACACACCCCAAGUGGGAGGAAAUUUGGGUGAAAACAUAUCUGUUAGAGGAGGCUCUAAUCCGAUUAUUAGGUAUGCCAAUGAAAUAAGAAAAUGGACAAAAGGCCUGAUUGCAAUCUGAGAACAUACAGAAUUCAAGGAAAAACCUAGAAAUUUUGAAGACAUUUAAUAACAUUAAAGACCAAAUCCUGCACAUGAAUUUGGAUAGGUGCAAUGUUUGAAAUGGCCAAAGAAACCAUGAUGUUUAAAUUAACAAUGGUAUCUUCUGUCUUCAGAAAACUUGCCAUAUAAUGUGUUCGUCCCUUGUCUUGCAGCAAUUCUACCUUUUGUUAAGUCUUUUGGGAAUCAUCAAAGAAAUGAUAAACAUAACUCAUUUAAUGACUGUUAAAAAUGUGAUUCCUCUUGCAGGUUGAAUAUUAAGGUCAAGUAAAGGUGACCAAGAAGAUUAUAUACCAGAAAAAGAGAAUCUUAUUCAUUUGAAGUUACCCCUCCCUAAUCUAGGUCAGAAUACAAAGUGUAUUAAAAUGAAUGACUCCAAAAUUUCGUGAAUGCCAUUUCUUAGUCCUUAAUGACAACAAAAAUGUGAUUCUCAGUAUUGUUUUCUUUCAAGGCAAAAUCUUGUAAAUUCAGACUAGAAGAGAUAAGGGCAUUGUUUAGGGCAUUUCAAGUUUGAAAUGAAAGUAUUGAUUUAUUUAAGAACCUCAAAACAAAUAAUUGUAUAUUUAUCUCUUAUCUUUUAAUCCCUUAGGUCCGCAUGUCUUCAGUUAAACUGGAAAUAUAACUUUAGGAAAAAGGAUUUAAUAUCUAUCUUUUUGCAACACACUCCAAAGAGCAAAACUGAAACAAACAAGAUUCUUCAGUAUAUCUUCAAAAUUAAACAUUUUCCCUUAGUGGUAUAUUUCAAAUGCAUAAUCACAGUUCAUUGUUUUAGCUAUUGGUCUUCUAAACUUGUUCAGAAAACUGUGAAGUCAUUAGUAUAUAUUUUAGUAACUUUGUAAAGCUAAUAAUAAAAUAUUUUCUACUUCUUACCCGAGGGGUAAAUUAAAUGUCUUAUUGAAUGUAAGCUCCUGUUCUCUAUUCUCUACUGUGACCCCAGGGCAUAAAACAGUAGCUAGAACUUGGUAGGCACUUGUUAAAUAUUUCUUGUUGAUUAAAUAAGAUGUCUUUGUAUUUUAAGUAUCUGAAAAGUCCAUGAAACAUGAGAGGAAUCAUUAUUCAGAUAGCAUGGUGAUUUUUAGAAAAGAUAACCUCAUCCAAACUCCAGUUGAUCGUUGGAUGAGGUACAUGAUUUCUAACCUUUAAAUUCAGAGAAACACUACUCAUUCAAGAGCCAACGAACCAAGCAUUGAAAAAAGAACCUACCUUUUUCUUGCUAUUGUACUUUAAAACUGCUUACAUGCUCUUAUGUAUGGUAUUUCUUAUUCCACUUUGUACUCUUUAUACCAUGUAACAUCUCUUUCCACAUAAUGUCAUAGUAUUAGUCCUUUGUGCAGACCAGUGGCCAAUAAAUUUUGUUGUAUGAAAUGAAAA